rnacentral:rRNA from 1 species
UACGGAGGGUGCAAGCGUUGUUCGGAAUUACUGGGCGUAAAGGGCGCGUAGGCGGCCGAUUAAGUCUGAUGUGAAAGCCCGGGGCUCAACCUCGGAAGUGCAUUGGAAACUGGAUAGCUUGAGUACGGGAGAGGGUAGUGGAAUUUCGAGUGUAGGGGUGAAAUCCGUAGAUAUUCGAAGGAACACUGGUGGUGAAGGCGGCUACCUGGACCGAUACUGACGCUGAGACGCGAAAGCGUGGGGAGCAAAC